GGGCCCGCACAAGCGGUGGAGCAUGUGGUUUAAUUCGAUGAUACGCGAGGAACCUUACCAGGGCUUAAAUGUAGUGGGACAGGUCUAGAGAUAGACCCUUCUUCGGACUCAUUACAAGGUGCUGCAUGGUUGUCGUCAGCUCGUGCCGUGAGGUGUCAGGUUAAGUCCUAUAACGAGCGCAACCCCUAUCGUUAGUUGCCAGCGGGUAAUGCCGGGAACUCUAGCGAAACUGCCGGUGCAAACCGUGAGGAAGGUGGGGAUGACGUCAAAUCAUCACGGCCCUUACGUCCUGGGCUACACACGUGCUACAAUGGUCGGUACAGAGAGCAGCCACUACGCGAGUAGGAGCGAAUCUUCAAAACCGAUCUCAGUUCGGAUCGCAGUCUGCAACUCGACUGCGUGAAGCUGGAAUCGCUAGUAA
rnacentral:rRNA from 1 species